rnacentral:rRNA from 1 species
GUAGGGAAUAUUGGGCAAUGGAUGCAAGUCUGACCCAGCCAUCCCGCGUGCCGGAAGAAGGCCCUCAGGGUUGUAAACGGCUUUUGACGGUGAAGAACCGACAGGAUGCGUCCUGUUUUGACGGUAGCCGUUGAAUAAGCACCGGCUAACUCCGUGCCAGCAGCCGCGGUAAUACGGAGGGUGCGAGCGUUGUCCGGAUUUAUUGGGUUUAAAGGGUGCGUAGGCUGGAAAGUCAGUCAGCGGUGAAAAGCUAUCGCUUAACGAUAGUCUUGCCGCAGAUACUUCCUUUCGUGGAUGAGGAGGAGGCCACUGGAACGGAUGGUGUAGCGGUGAAAUGCAUAGAUAUCAUCCAGAACACCGAUUGCGAAGGCAGGUGGCUGUACCUUAAUCGACGCUGAUGCACGAAAGCAUGGGGAGCAAACAGGAUUAGAAACCCGGGUAGUCC